UACGUAGGGAGCGAGCGUUAUCCGGAAUUAUUGGGCGUAAAGGGUGCGUAGAUGGCAAUAAAAGUUUCUUGUUAAAAUGCCAAGCUCAACUUAGUAUAGCAAGGGAUACUAUAUAGCUAGAGUAUGGAAGAGGCAAGUGGAACUCCAUGUGUAGCGGUAAAAUGCGUAAAUAUAUGGAAGAACACCAGUGGCGAAGGCGGCUUGCUGGGCCGAUACUGACAUUGAGGCACGAAAGCGUGGGGAACAAACA
rnacentral:rRNA from 1 species